UCCCGCGGCCGACUCGGCGCCGCAGCGCCCGCCCCCGGCUCCGCCUGCCGCCUGCCGCCGUGGCCCCUCGCGCUAACGGUCGGGAGCGGCCCGCGCGCGCCGCCCGCCGGGGGCUCGCACCAGCCACGAGGGAGCGUCCGCGGCCCGCGCGUCCGCGCGCGCGGCUACUGAGAGGUGAUAAGUAUGAUGCUUCCUUAAUACAUUUGGAUGUUUUCUGCUAAGUUCACUUCUGAAGUAUGGGCUUCCUUCAGAUUUUGGCUGAAAUUUGUCUUGUAAUCCCCAUGUUCAUCUGCAACACGCUUGUGUUCCCCUGUGACUGAUUGGGUUUUAUGGAGAUGGGAUUUCAUAUAUGACCAAGAGCUGAAGCAUUGCGGCAAGUUAAAAAAUAAGCAACACAAAUAUCAAGAGAAUGUUAAGCGAAUCUGCAGUUCAUAAUGGAGCUACUCGACUGGCUAUUGGGAGGAGGAGAUUCUGAAGAUAGGGAGGAAGAGGUUGGAAGCAGUUGAGGAAGUCAUUAAAAAAAUGACAAUAUCAAGAUUCAGCCAUCAGUCUUUGACAUUUCCUGUGGUCUGUUUCAAUCUAGAUGCAAAGGACAUGGAAAAAUCAAGUGCUCAAGUGGUUUAAAUAUGUUUUGGAUGUCCCUAUUUAUAGACUACAGUAUUUUUCCAAUUAAAAUUCUCAGUUGUCACGAAGAAGGGGGUUAUGCUCUUUUUGAUCACCAAUUUCAUCGAAAAUGCUUGGUAUUGUAGAGUACUACCAAACAUUUUCUGUUUUAAUCAAAGUAUACAAAAAAUAAAAUCAGUUUUAUAUGU